rnacentral:rRNA from 1 species
AUCAACGCUGGCGGCGCGCCUAACACAUGCAAGUCGAGCGAGAAAGUGGGGCAACUCAUGAGUAAAGCGGCGUACGGGUGAGUAACACGUGGAUGAUCUACCCUCUAGUGGGGAAUAACCCUGGGAAACCGGGGCUAAUACCGCAUAAGCACGGGAGUGGAAAGCAGCAAUGCGCUGGAGGAGGAGUCCGCGGCCGAUUAGCUAGUUGGCAGGGUAAAAGCCUACCAAGGCAAAGAUCGGUAGCCGGCCUGAGAGGGCACACGGCCACACUGGCACUGAAACACGGGCCAGACUCCUACGGGAGGCAGCAGUGGGGAAUCUUGCACAAUGGGGGAAACCCUGAUGCAGCGACGCCGCGUGAGCGAUGAAGCCCUUCGGGGUGUAAAGCUCUUUCGGCAGGGAAGAUGAUGACGGUACCUGCAGAAGCAGCUGCGGCUAACUACGUGCCAGCAGCCGCGGUAAUACGUAGGCAGCGAGCGUUGUUCGGAGUUACUGGGCGUAAAGGGUGUGUAGGCGGUUGUUUAAGUUUGGUGUGAAAUCUCCCGGCUCAACUGGGAGGGUGCGCCGAAUACUGAAUGACUAGAGUGCGGGAGAGGAAAGUGGAAUUCCUGGUGUAGCGGUGAAAUGCGUAGAUAUCAGGAGGAACACCGGUGGUGUAGACGGCUUUCUGGACCGUAACUGACGCUGAGACACGAAAGCGUGGGUAGCAAAUAGGAUUAGAUACCCUGGUAGUCCACGCCCUAAACGAUGCAUAUUUGGUGUGGGCAGUUCAUUCUGUCCGUGCCGGAGCUAACGCGUUAAAUAUGCCGCCUGGGGAGUACAGUCGCAAGGCUGAAACUCAAAGGAAUUGACGGGGGCCCGCACAAGCGGUGGAGCAUGUGGUUCAAUUCGACGCAACGCGAAGAACCUUACCUGGGCUCGAACGGCUGGUCAACGGCGGUGGAAACACUGUUACCCCGCAAGGGGGUCCAGUCGAGGUGCUGCAUGGCUGUCGUCAGCUCGUGUCGUGAGAUGUUGGGUUAAGUCCCGCAACGAGCGCAACCCUUGUCUCUAGUUAGCCAUCGCUUCGAAGAAGGCCGGCAACUCGCAGAGAGACUGCCAGCGCAUAAGCUGGAGGAAGGUGGGGACUGACGUCAGGUCAUCAUGGUCCUUACGUCCAGGGCUACACACGUGCUACAAUGGGCGGGACAGCGGGUCGCAAACGCGUAAGCGUAAGCCAAUCCCUCGAAACCCGCCCUCAGUUCGGAUUGCCGUCUGCAACUCGACGGCAUGAAGCUGGAAUCGCUAGUAAUCGCGGAUCAGCGAUGCCGCGGUGAAUACGUUCCCGGGCCUUGUACACACCGCCCGUCACGCCAUGGGAGUUGGUUCUACCCGAAGAUGGUGCGCUAACCGCAAGGAGGCAGCCAGCCACGGUAGGAUCAAUGACUGGGGCG